ACUCAAAGGAAUAGACGGGGGACCGCACAAGCAGCGGAGCGUGUGGUUUAAUUCGAGGCUACACGAAGAACCUUACCUAGGUUUGACAUCGUACUGAAGUCUGCGUGAAAGCGUGGAUGUCCCGCAAGGGACAGUAUGACAGGUGCUGCAUGGCUGUCGUCAGCUCGUGCCGUGAGGUGUUCGGUUAAGUCCGCAAACGAGCGCAACCCUCGGUGCCAGUUACAAGUGUCUGGCGCGACUGCCCGUGGCAAACGGGAGGAAGGUGGGGAUGACGUCAAGUCAGCAUGGCCUUUAUAUCUAGGGCUACACACACGCUACAAUGGCGCGUACAAUGGGUCGCGAACCCGCGAGGGGGAGCUAAUCCUAAAAAGCGCGUCUCAGUUCAGAUCGUAGGCUGCAACCCGCCUGCGUGAAGUUGGAGUUGCUAGUAACCGCGCGUCAGCAGAGUGCGGUGAAUACGUUCCCGGUCCUUGUACACACCGCCCGU
rnacentral:rRNA from 1 species